CCCAACCUAAGGUCGCCCGCAAAACCGGGAGUCGUUCCUGCCUCAUCACUGGGAAGGGCGGGGAGCGCACUGGGCAUGCUCCGAGCCGGGCGGGGGACCCGAGCGCCCCAUAGGAGAAACCCAUUUGCAGAGCCCCGCGGGACCGUCAGCCCCACUUCGUUCCCGCCUCCUCUUAGAGAGUCGAAGUCAUAGCUUUCAGAGCUUGGAAAAGCUGGUAAGUCAGGAUCCGCGAAGGCGUUGUGUGUCCUCUUCCCAGCUGCUGUGUGGUUGGGGCCAGCACCUUACCCUCUCCGUGCCUCGCGUAGUACGAAUACCUACAGCUUCGAUCUGGGCGGCAUGUGGAAACUGAAUGAAAUCAGGAAGAUGAACACGUUUAGUCCACUUUGAAGAUCCAUUUCUUGAGUGACUACCUCAAUUAUCCGUCAUUCUCAUACCAGUUUGCCAAGCGCCGAGAUGAGGACACCGAGGUUAAUGAACAUGCUACAGAUUACCUUUAAAUUUCUGGUCUCCUCUUACGGUUUUAUUUGGGGGCCAAAAUAUUAAAGUCAUCUUUUUAAGCUGUUGCACCUGGAAUGACAUGAUGUUAUUAUCAGCAAUGACAGUUGAUCUUAUAUCAUAAGCUCCCAAACUUUAUGCAAAUGGAGCUUUGGAUGGACACAUAAUCUUCUUAGUCUACGUGGUUGAACUCAGCCAAAUCUAAAGCAAGUAGAAGCCCGGUGGGGAAUAGGGUUGUACCAAAUCUCAGAUAAUGGGGCCAGUGCAGAGAGGACCCACACAGAUUCCGGUCCUUGGGCAAUCGUUUUGGAGACAGAAUCACAACAUAAUGGAACCACAGGGACCAUGGACUCCUCAGGACGUUGCUGUGAUGAAAAGACACAGAGCUGCUAAGACACAGAGCUGCUAAUCUUGAUGUUUACUGAGAGGGCCCUAACGUAUCCCUCCUGCUGCUGGUAAGUUGAAAAAACAGUCAGCUCUCUCUUUUAAUGGGGCUGGUAGACUGUAGGAGGCCUGAAAUUACUACACAAGAACAGCAAACACAAAAAGUCAAAGAGGGUCAUUUCAUAGGAUAGGAAGAUAUGCCACAGACCUAAUAUGCAUCACUGGUAAUGGACCAGAUUCCUGCAAGUGGAAUGAGAGAUAAGCAACUGAACAGUUAUUAGCAGCAUUCCCAGAAACUGCCAUUUAGACAGAAAAAUCUGGAGCCAAGCACUGCAGACAGGCAAUUGGCUGGGGCAUUUGUAGGAAGAGUUUCCUGGAAGAAUAACAAAGGAUUGUCACUCACGUUAAGACUCAGGAAGUCUGGGCACCACAUGGACUGUUUCAAUGAUUUAAGGGUAGGGCUCCCAGCUGAGAUGCUAAUACUCAUCAAUUAUUUGUGCUGUUAAUGCAACCUCAUGAAGGGCUCCAAGAAUCGGGAAAAACAUGCGCAAGUGGUGCUGUAUACUGACAAGUGAAAAGAAUACAGUGUAAAAUUAUAUGCAUAGUAUGGCUUCAAUUCUGUGAAUUACUAGGUUAAAUCUAAAUUGCCAUUUUGUAGGUCAACAAUGGCUGAACACUGGCAGCUUCCUGUAUUUCAGCUUAAUAUGUACACAUAGAAAAAAGAGUAGAGAGAACUGCACCAAAAUAUUAUUGGGGGCUCUGGGUAUUGCAUUUAGAGGCAGAGUAAUAAGACAAGGAUGGUAUCUUGUACAAAUUAGGAGAAUUUCAAAUCUUUGGGCAUUUAUUUCUUUGUAUGUCCUUAUGGUUCCCUAAGUCUUAUUUUAUAGUAAAUGUGUUUCUUUUAUGAUCAGAAAAUUUAUCUAUUGAAAAAUUUCUUUCCAUUGCAAAUUAUUUCUGCCAGAAGAGUUUUGUCUGUGAAACUGGUGAACAAAUUUAGCAUGAGUACAUGAGCAGACAUGAAGUGACUGUUGUCAAUUCAUUUGUUUAUUCAUCAAAUAUUUAUUAAGCACCUACUGUGUAUCAGGCAGUACUCUUAGUGCUUGAGAGACAUCAGAGAACAAAAUGAUUUCUGCCCUCCUGGGCAUGCAUUCUAAUAGGGCAAACCAAUGAACAACUAACAUAUAGAUAAGUGAAUUACAUUGUAUGUUACAAGAUCAGGGGAAAGGGUGAUAGGGAGAGUGAUGGAGGUGAGGUGGGUGGGGAGUUGCAAUUUUGAAUAGGAUUGAGAAAUUUAAUCACUUAAGCAAACACCUGAAGGAGAUGAGGGAGUUAUUCAUGCAGAUAUCUGGGAGAAGAAUUUUCUGGGCAAAGGGAAAAGCUAGUACAAAGGUCCUAAAGGGAAUGUAUCUAGAGUACAGAGGCUGGUAGUGCAAGGGGGAAGCUGCAGGGAUGAAGCCAAGAGGUACCAGGGACCAGAACCUGAGGGCUGUUCCCUCAUCAGCCCCAGGAAAGACUCAGCCUUUCAGUCUGAGCUACACGGAAGCCAAACCAACCUAAUGGCUGCAAAAUGUACUUCUCAGCACAGCAAAAGUUAAAUGCUGUCCCUUUAGUCGUCACCUGAUGCCACCUUGCUGGUAAACACAGAUUUGAAUAACUGAACUGAAAUCAUGCAGCCAUCUUCUGUUAUAAGGCAGUCAGCCAUACAAUCCAGAUUAUGCAUGUAUUUUUAAUAAUGUCAUAGAAAUAGAAAGAUAACAAACAAUUAUCUUGCAGUGUCUCAGACCUUCAAGAACACUUGAAUGAACUCUCUCAGGGCUACACAGACCUGAAUUUGAAAAACACUCUAAUGGCACAACACCACAUAGAUUUGCUGCUGCAUGAAAAAUGGAAAUGUUAAGUCUAGGGACUUUGAGAUCCUGCUCUGGAAACUCAACAGAAGGCUGUGGCUUUAGAAAUAAAGAGAAAUGAUGAGAAAUGCAGAGAAUGGAAGUUGGCAUGCUGAACUGUGGCUGAUGGUGCUUAAGUAAUGACUUUACCUGAAAGGGAGUGGUAUCAUUUUACAAAAUCCAGGCAGAAUGGAUUUGUCAAGCCUCCCAACCAUACCUUCAAGGUUCACAUGCGUGGUAACAGAAGCAGAGAGAGAGAGAGAGAGAGAGAGAGAGAGAGAGAGAGAACCAACAGGUGAUAUACAAUAGUCAUACAGAAGUUAUGGCUUUGAAAAA